CCCCUCCUCGAGGUACCAUGCUCGGGGCAGGCUCGGCCACUCCACUUCAGGGUACCUUGCUCGGGGAAGGCUCGGCCAAUCCGCUUCGGGGUACCUGGCUCUGGGGAGGUCCGGUCGGUCAGCGUCCGGGUAUCUGACUCUGGGGAGGCUCGGUCCGUCCGCAUCGGGGUACCUGGCUCGGGGAAGGCUCGGUCUAGCCGGAGCUCGCACCGGCACGUCUGUCCUCUCCGGCCGCUGGGCUCCAACUGAGUGCUGGGGCCUGGCUUUUAUACUUCCUGCCCCGCCCCUUGACUUCCGGGGGGCGGGAACAGGUGGCGGUGGCUCCGCCCACUUGUUUGCCAGUUCAGGCUCCUCUUUCUCAGGGGCCGUCGGGGCCCAGGCCGCCUCACUACAGGACACUUUUGAGAUAUAUGUGUUUCCCUCAGGCAAUGGACACACUGUGCAUAGCCAUCAGAGACCAGUACAGACAGUCUGCAAGUGAGGCAGUGUUUGAAGCCUGGACAACCAGUCAUUUCUGAGAGGCUAUGUGGAAAGGAAGAAUAGGAAUAAUCCCGUUCUUAUGCCUCUGUCAUUGGAAGUUACCUGCCAGAGGCAGGGGAAAGGGGAGGAGUAGGAAAACAAAGGUUUUUUUUAAUAUGGUAAAAGAAAAUUAAAGGAGAAAUUAAGGGAGAGAGAUACUAGCUGGGAAAGAACUGAAAUAAUAGAAAUAGCUAAAGCUGUGAGGGUGCUGCUGUCGUUCCGACCGAAGCCAAAGGCAGUAGAGAAGGAACUGGGGGAUGGUUGGCUGCGCACGUGGGGUAACUACAUGGAGCGAUGAGAGAUGGCUGCCGCACGUGUGAGGCCAAUGGGGGCACUGCUACUAUAAAUCUCCGAUUAGAAGUGCAGGGUGCAAAGUGGAGCACCCACAGGGACACUCCUCAAAGAACACCACAUAGUUGCAGCUGGUAAUCCAUUUUGACAGUUGCUGUGCUGUAACAGGUUGACCUCUCAUUUGUUCCACAUAGGAAACAAAGAGCUGAGAAGAACUCUGAAAGGCAUUUUUUUGACCAGGUAAAAAGCCAAAAGCCAUAUGUUCAUCCAGAGUGCACAGCCUUCAUUCAUCUUUGUGAGCAUGUGACAUUUGGAAGGAAACAGGUUCAGCUUCAAUCACCUGCUCUUCAUCUAUGAGCUAAUCUCAUCCAAACACUGGACAACCUUGAUGGCAGAGGUAUAAGCAAAUCUACAUAUCGUUAAUUGUAUUCAAGUGCCUAGUUAAAAAUAAUCUGCUGGGAGAUACAAGACUUGAAAACGUGGAGAACCAAGUUCUCAAUAGAAAUAUAAGAACUGUCAGGCAACACAAAGACAAGAAUAUAACCGCUUCUAAAAACUCUGAGCUGAGAACCUCUUGCGAUCCACCUCCAUGAUAGGUUUCUCUAGGACUGGACAAUCAGAUCCUUAACUAUUCUGCUGACAAUGCACAAGAAGGAAUAUAACCCUGCUCUCUCUCCCACCGCUGUAUAAGCCCUGUAGUAUUAGCACAAGUAGUAAAAAUCUAUUUUGUUCCUGAAGUGAGCACCUUUAACAGAAUAUACACAGUAUGCACCUCUGAGUAAAAUGGAGCCAUUUUCACACAGCCUUUUCAAGUAACAACCACACAUCAAUUGACUACAUCUGAUUUUCAGAUGGACGGCACCUGGAAACUGGGAGGAUUCAGCAGCUGCAAGGAGACAAAGGGAUUGAUUGCUGGUCUGAAUGCAAGUUGAAAGAUUCAGGGAGAUGGCAAAACUGAAGACUCCCUGUCCAAGCAUGGAGCCAGAGGAACCAGUGUGUCACUAACACAAUGGGUGCUGUGUACCAUUACCUUCACAGAAUUUCUGCCAUCAUUACAUACAAACUAGGAGGCCCUGUAGAUGAGCUGAAGCCUUCUUAACUUUUCUGGGAUUGUUUUGCAGAGUCAAGCACUACAACAAGGCCUUGAAUCUACAAAAAUCUCUUCUCGGACAGAAUUUUUUCUACAUCUCUUCUAACUUUUGUUUCCCGCUCUAGACCUAUUUCUAUUAUACUUUUUUCAAGAUGGGGUGAACAAAAGUGAACAGAGUAUUCAAAGUGAGAGCAUUAAAUUGGUUUAUAUAGCAGUAUAGUAUUUCUAGUAUGGUUCUUUACCCCUUUCUUAACAUACUCUAACAUUAUUUGCUUUGCGCUUGUCAUGCAUUAUGAACCGUCCACAAUGACACUCAGGUCCUUUUCCUCAGAGUUUAUAGUUAAGUUCAAUCAACAUGUAUUACUAGUUUAAAUUGUUCCAUCUAACAUGCAUUACAUUGCAUUUACCAUCCCUGUUCUCUAAUUGGCUGGCUUUGGUAGGUCCCUGUGAAGUUCCUCAAAUAGUGAAUGAUGGGCUUAAUAUCAGGUUAAAGCAUACAAUGAAGAGAAAAAGCAGGGAGUCUGAGGAACAUUGUAAUUGGCUCUGGAAAAAGAAGAUCCUAAGCGAGUAUGCUUUUUCCUACUGGGCUCAGAACAGAGAUGCCCCUGGUUCUUGCCACGGGACGGACUGCUGGAGUAGAGACAUACUCUGUCUGCCCAGAGAGGGGAAGGAGAGCAAGAGAAGGAAAUCUCAGAGCUAUUGCAUAAGGUUACUGCAGUACUCACUGGACAAUGGCCUAUUUCUGCUCCUCUACCAUCCAGUGUAUUCAAUUCAACUGUGUUGCACCUGAAUUGAACAAUGGUUUAUUAUUAAAUAUUUAUGUUAUGGCAAUAGCCAGUGGCCACAAUUCAGAUUAGAGCCCUGUUGUGCUAGUUGCUUUUAAAAGAGAGGUAGACAAGGUCACUGCUCCAAGGAGUUUACAAUCUAAGAUUUUUCCCUAAUCCACAAGGGGUAGCAUUGAUGAGCAAGAAUAUUUCCAAAUCCAAUGAUUGGUUAUCUUUGUAUUGGAUUGAUGUCAAAGGAAGCUUAACAGUCUGUAUUGUUGAGCAGAGCCUAGUUUAUAGCCUCUUCCUCAUCCCCACCAUACAAAAUCAAUAUUGUAAUACCUAACACUUGUAUAGACCUUUUCAUUAGUACAUCUCAAAGAGCUUUACCAAGGAGAUCAGUAUCAUCAUCCCUGUCUUAAAAGACUACCCCAAAAUAUCACCAGAUUAUUGAGUACAGUUCUACUCCAUCUUUAGUUAAAAAAAAAAUUUAAUUCUGUUAAAUCAUCUAUUUUUUGUUGUUCCUUUGAAAAGUCAUUAAGACAUGUCCCAAUCUGCUAUACAGGGGGAGGUGGGUAGCUAAGGGGUACUGGCAAGUGCUGGUAGAUGACCCAGCCAAGGAAAGGUCAGCCUUCAUCACCCAUGUAGGGUUGUAUGAAUUUAAUGUGCUCCCUUUUGGACUGCGAAAUGCACCCGCCACCUUCCAGAGACUGGUAGAUAACGUUCUGGCUGGAUUUGGGGAAUUUGCAGUCACCUACCUUGACAAUGUGGCUAUAUUCUCAGAUUCAUGGGUAAAACACCUGGAACACCUCCAAGCUGUCUUCCAGCGCAUAAGGGAGGCAGGAUUAACCGUUAAGGCCAAAAAGUGUCAAAUAGGCCUAAACAGGGUAACGUACGUACCUUGGACAUCAGGUGGGUCAAGGUACUAUCAACCCCCUACAGUCUAAGGUAAAUGCUAUCCAAAAUUGGCCUGUCCCUAAGUCUAAGAAGCAGGUCCAAUCCUUCUUGGGCUUGGGUGGGCAUUACCGAUGAUUUUUACCACACUACAGCCUAAUUGCCACCCCACUGACAGACCUAACCAGGAAAAAACAGCCAAAUGCAGUUCAGUGGACUGAGAAGUGUCAGAAAGCCUUUAACCAGUUUAAGGCGGCCCUUACGUCUGACCCCGUACUAAGGGCCCCGGACUUCGACCAAUUGUUCGUUGUAACCACAGAUGUGUCCAAGCGCGGUGUAGGAGCAGUUUUAACGCAGGAAGGACCAGAUCAACAAUUCCAUCCUGUCGUGUUCCUCAGCAAAAAACUUUCUGAGAAGGAAAGCCACUGGUCAGUCUCAGAAAAAGAAUGUUACACCAUUGUGUAUGCUCUAGAGAAGCUACGCCCAUACAUUUGGGGAUGGUAUUUUCACCUGCAGACUGACCACACUGCACUGAAGUGGCUUCACUCAGUCAAAGAAACUAAGAAAAAACUUCUUUGGUGGAGUUAAGCUCUUCAAGAGUUUGAUUUUGAAAUACAAUACAUUUCAAGAGCCUCUAACAAAGUGCUGAUGCACACUCCUGGGAAGGUUUCCCCAAAUUAGCUGGGUAAAAAUGUCCCUGCAUUCUAAGUCAUUGUAGUCCUUGAAAUGUAAAAAGUACUGUUUAGUUCUUCAUGUAAUUAUUAGUAACAUUAAAGGUGCAUGUAUCUUAUUAACUCUGUUUCCUAAACCUCCAGGAAGAAAUCCCGGCUGGUGUGGACCCAACCUGAACCAGGCUAGCCAGCACCGUCUGUGAUUUGGGGGUGUGUGUGAUAAAUGAAGAGGGGAGAGGGGUAGCUCCCUUUUAUGGACACCCAGCCAGCCAGUUAGCUAUAAAAUCCCUCUUGGUAACUACUUGCUUUACUUGUAAAGGGUUAAAAAGUCCCCUGGGUAAAGAAAAGGGAGUAGGCACCUGACCAAAAGAGCCAAUGGGAAGACUAGAAUUUUUUAAAAUUGGGGAAAAAGCUUUCCCUUUGCGUUCUGUGUUGUUCUCCAGAGAGAGGGGAACAGAGCAAAGUCAGGGCUAUGACUAUGCUGUAAAAAGCUUUUUGCCAGGUAUGGAAAUCAUCAGAUUAUACCUAGAACUAUGUAAAUAGAUUAGGAUAGGUCUAGAAAGAUGCAAUUAGGGUUAUUUCUUUUAUUUUCUGUAAGGCUUGUGGACUCCUUUGUGCUAACCCCAGAUGCUUUUG